rfam:Symbiobacterium thermophilum isolate G2 contig00749, whole genome shotgun sequence.
CACUCCCGACCAUGUGCGUGAUCGCCGGUACGAAAUGACCUAACACCGAAAGAAAAGGGAGCCUUUAUUCCGGUGUGGCCUGAACGCCCCCCCGGGUUCCGUGACCCGUGGUCAGGGGACUCAGAAAGCAUCGGAGCGGGCACCCACCUGUGGAGAGCAGGUUCAUUGUUCUACCGGACACACGGCAUGGUGGGGUAUGC